rnacentral:rRNA from 1 species
GUCUAAGGCCAUGCCACCCUGAACAAGCCCGAUCUCGUCUGAUCUCAGAAGCUAAGCAGGGUCGGGCCUGGUUAGUACUUAUAUGAGAGACCACCUAGGAAGACCAGGUGCUGUAGGCG